UACGAAGGGGGGCUAGCGUUGUUCGGAAUUACUGGGCGUAAAGCGCACGUAGGCGGAUGUUUAAGUUAGGGGUGAAAGCCCAGGGCUCAACCCUGGAAUUGCCUCUAAUACUGGACAUCUUGAGGCCGAGAGAGGUGAGUGGAACUCCGAGUGUAGAGGUGAAAUUCGUAGAUAUUCGGAAGAACACCAGUGGCGAAGGCGGCUCACUGGCUCGGUACUGACGCUGAGGUGCGAAAGCGUGGGGGAGCAAACAGG
rnacentral:rRNA from 1 species